rnacentral:lncRNA from 1 species
CUCAUUUUUCCCGGGCUUUCGGUCGGCGUUUUCCUUUUGUCGCGGGUUUGGGCGCGCAUCGAACUCUGAAGGGUCGGGAAGGCCUGUCGUUGGAAUGUGGUUGAGUUCCAGGGAGUGUACAGGCUGGAGGAUGGGACAAGACCUAUCUCUGUAUCGAUCAAGCACGGCGUUGGUGUUCCAGCUCAUCACCAAUCCUAAGGAAUUCAAGUGCCUCCCAGGAUGAAUACAGGUUGUCUUGAUGGUGAUACAUUCAUCUGUCUUAAGAUCCCUGCUGAUCUGCUCAUGGUCAAACUCAUGGAAAGAGUUGAGAGUGGGGCACCUUGUUCCUGCAUCCUCAAAGGAGCAUCUUGUUCCUCCAUUUAAGCUUCCAGAGUUAAAAGGUACCUGUACCAUUUAGCGGCUUGUUCACUCAAAGAUCCAUCUUGUCUGGAGCCUGAGGAUGAUUGGAGGUAAAUCUGUUUAUCUAUGGCUGCUAUGUAAAGUUUGCCAGUUUUUGUGUGGCACUUUGGAUAGUUGUGCAGGUAUUACUUAAUCCAAAGUCUGCCUUUGGCCAUUUGUGAACCACCUGAAACAGAUUUCUGCUCACAUGAUGAGUUUGAUACCGCCCCAGUCUGAUCACUAUGACUGAAAGGUAUUUUCUGAGCUGUGAGUUUGCCUUAGAGUGGGAAGUUAGUCUUUUUAUAAAAUGUCUGUUGAGACCUACACAGCCUGUUAGGGUGUCCCAUUCCUCUGGGAAUGGUUGACUUAGUUCCCAAUCUCUGUUUUGCAGGUGAAAGGUGUAAGCCAUACUCUGCUCAACUCCAGUCUGAAACUAAGGUUAAAAGAACACGUACUUAACACACGGGUAAGAAUCCAACUCUUGGAGGACAUCAGAAGUGGAAUUUUCUUAUACAACCUACCUAUUCAAAUUAGCAUAUAAUCUUUCUAGCCUUUCUAAAUAAAUAAAGGGAUUUUUUUG